UACGUAGGGUGCGAGCGUUGUCCGGAAUUACUGGGCGUAAAGAGCUCGUAGGUGGUUUGUCGCGUUGUUCGUGAAAACCGGGGGCUUAACCCUCGGCGUGCGGGCGAUACUGGCAGACUUGAGUACUGCAGGGGAGACUGGAAUUCCUGGUGUAGCGGUGGAAUGCGCAGAUAUCAGGAGGAACACCGAUGGCGAAGGCGGGUCUCUGGGCAGUAACUGACGCUGAGGAGCGAAAGCGUGGGGAGCGAACAGG
rnacentral:rRNA from 1 species